AUUGAACGCUGGCGGCAGGCCUAACACAUGCAAGUCGAGCGGAGCGGCGGGCGGGCGAGUAAUGCCUAGGAAUCUGCCUGGUAGUGGGGGAUAACGUCCGGCAACGGGCGCUAAUACCGCCUACAUGCAGAUGAGCCUAGGUCGGAUUAGCUAGUGGGUGGGGUAAGGGCCUACCAAGGCGACGAUCCGUACCUGGUCUGAGAGGAUGCUCAGUCACACUGGAACUGAGACACGGUCCAGACUCCUACGGGAGGCAGCAGUGGGGAAUAUUGGACAAUGGGCGAAAGCCUGAUGCAGCCAUGCCGCGUGUGUGAAGAAGGUCUUCGGAUUGUAAAGCACUUUAAGUUGGGAGGCGUUACCAGCAGAAUAAGCACCGGCUAACUUCGUGCCAGCAGCCGCGGUAAUAC
rnacentral:rRNA from 1 species